GACGAACGCUGGCGGCGUGGAUUAGGCAUGCAAGUCGAACGGUAUCAUUCUUUCGGGGGUGAGAGAGUGGCGAACUGGUGAGUAACACGUAGGUUAUCUACCCUCAAGACGGGGACAACCCAGGGAAACUUGGGCUAAUACCGGAUGUGAGCAACUUUUAGUUGUUUGAAAGGUGGCGUAAGCUGUCGCUUGGGGAUGAGCCUGCGUCCUAUUAGUUAGUUGGUGAGGUAACGGCUCACCUAGGCAAUGAUAGGUAGGCGGCCUUAACGGGUGGUCGCCCACACUGGGAUUGAGAUACGGCCCAGACUCCUACGGGAGGCAGCAGUCGAGAAUAGUCUACAAUGGUCGGAAGACUGAUAGUGCGACGCCGCGUGAACGAUGAAUCCCUUCGGGGUGUAAAGUUCUUUUAUAUGUGAGCAGUGCUUCUUAUAUUAACAGUAUGGGGAGAGAGAUAUUAGCAUAUGAAUAAGCAACGGCUAACUCCGUGCCAGCAGCCGCGGUAAUA
rnacentral:rRNA from 1 species